UUUGUACAGCCACGGAAGGAGCUUGGUAGGAUCAUAUAAGAUGAGGAAGAAACCCUUCGGUCAGAAUUGCGAUUCUCUGGAAUUUUUUUAAAAGCCUAGAGGGCCAAUAAUUGUACAUACUCAAAAUAGAAACAAAUAGAUUUUUGGAUACUAACAGAAUUAAGGGAUGCAGGAACAGGUUAGAAUGUGCAGUUAAGAUAGAAAAUUAGCCAUGAUCACACUGAAUGGUAGUGAAGACUCACAGCCGAAUGGCUCGCUCCUAAUCUUCUUUUGCAUCAGCAUUAAUUCUAUCAAUUGUGUGCUCUGCCUGAAGCAGGAGAGACAAGGAUACAAGGGCACAGCCACACAGUGAAGGGGCGACCUUCAGAAUUGUGAUGAAAAGGAAUUUCUUCAGCCAGAGAGUGGCAAACCUGUGGAAACCAUUACCAUGGAAAGCUGUGGAGGCCAAGUCAUUCAACAUCUUUAAAAGAGACUGGGAUUUGAAUCCAAGAUCUUCUGGCUCAGAAGACAGACUGCCAUCACAGAGUCAAAGCUAAGACGCUCCAAUACAAACAGAAGAUAGCCCGCCAGUUUCAAGAAAUUUGUCAAGUGGGCUAAACAGAAAUACUAACAGGCAAGAUGCUUUGAAUUUUCCCCACAGCUAAAACAAACUUGUUUUGUAUCAGAAUAAAUCAUUUACCUUCCUAGACAGCCCAUGCCUAACAAAUGGCUGAUUUCAUGGAGUUUUUAUUAGCAGAAAUAAUUUGAAUGGUUUGCUGAGAUAGACAUUUUUAUUGUAAGAUUGUGUGUGUUUUGGAUGGACUGGGUGCAAAUGCAGAACUGGAAAUGCAGCCUGGGGAACUGAUUUACACCUUCUACUGAAUCCCAACAACUUCAACAGCAAACCAAACCA